rnacentral:rRNA from 1 species
UACGAAGGGGGCUAGCGUUGUUCGGAAUCACUGGGCGUAAAGCGCACGCAGGCGGAUUGAUAAGUCAGGGGGGAAAUCCCGGAGCUCAACUUCGGAAUUGCCUUUGAUACUGUCUGUCUUGAGUCCGGGAGAGGUGAGUGGAAUUCCUAGUGUAGAGGUGAAAUUCGUAGAUAUUAGGAAGAACACCAGUGGCGAAGGCGGCUCACUGGCCCGGUACUGACGCUCAUGUGCGAAAGCGUGGGGAGCAAACAGG